UACGUAGGGUGCAAGCGUUAAUCGGAAUUACUGGGCGUAAAGCGUGCGCAGGCGGUGAUGUAAGACAGUCGUGAAAUCCCCGGGCUCAACCUGGGAAUUGCGAUUGUGACUGCAAGGCUAGAGUACGGCAGAGGGGGAUGGAAUUCCGCGUGUAGCAGUGAAAUGCGUAGAUAUGCGGAGGAACACCAAUGGCGAAGGCAAUCCCCUGGGCCUGUACUGACGCUCAUGCACGAAAGCGUGGGGAGCAAACAGG
rnacentral:rRNA from 1 species